CCUGGAGAAGGGAUGGGGAUUAACACAGACAGGGCCAGACACAGAGUGUCAGAGACAAGUCAAGGGAGUCCAAUUAAGUCUCAUUUAUUAAUAAAGUGGUCACUGGUUUUAUAUGGCAGGGGUGGGCUGGUGGGACACGAAGAGGCUAUGGGGUAAUCUCUGAUGGGUCAUCAUCAUGUCUGUGUAUGUGACGUAAGUAGGAGAGGACUAUGGUUAAUAUAGGCAGGUGCAUUAUGUGCCCAUAGGAGGGAGAGGCGGGGAGACAGCAGUGGGGCAGUUGCACCACUCCCUACAACAAAUAAAUAACCUAAUGCUACAUCUCAAGUUUCUAGAAAAGGAGGAGCAAGUCAAACCCAAAGCUCAUACAAGAGAGACAAUUGUAAAGAUUAGAGCAGAAAUUAAUGCAAUUGAAACUAAAAAAAAUGCAGAAAAUUAACGAAUCAAUGAGUUGGUUUUUUUUUUUUUUGAGAGAGAGAAUAAACAAAACUGAUAACCUUCUUAUUAAGAAAAAGAAAAAAUUCAAAUCCACACAAUAAGGACUGAAAAGAUGGAAAUUAGUACAGAUGCCAUGGAAAUUCAAAAGAUCAUGAACACAUACUUUGAAAAUCUCUACUCACAUAGAGUCAAAAACACAGAGGAAAUGGACAGAUUUCUAGAAACAUGAAUUAUUGAGGCUCAAUCAAGAAGAUAUAACAAUUCUGAGUAAAUCAGUAUCAGCUACUGAAAUUGAAAAUGAUUUAUCAACUUACCAACAAAGGAAUAUCUAGGUCCUGAUAUAUUCACGGCUGAAUUUCAUAAGGAAUUUAGAGAAUACCUGACUCCAAUAUUUCUUAAACUCUUCAAUGAAAUUGAAAGAGAAACAGUCCUCCCUAACUCAUUCUUGGAGUCAAGUAUCACUAUGAUACCAUUAGAGAAAGACACAACCAAAGCGGAAAAAUACAGACCAAUCUCACUAAUGAACACUGAUUCAAAGAUUCUCUAUAAAAUAUUGGCAAAUAGAAUGCAGCAAAUCAUUGAGAGGAUUAUGUAGCAUGACCAACUGGGAUUGAUUCCAAGAUGGCAGGCAUGGUUCAAAAUAUGCUAAUCAAUAAAUGUAAUACUCCACAUCAACAGAGCCAAAAAUAAAAAUCACGUGAACUUCUCAAUAGAUGCAGAAAAAUCUUUUGAUAAAAUCCAACACUUGUUCAUGAUGAAAACCCUACAGAAAGUCAGAAUAGAUGGUAUCUACCUCAGUCUCAUAAAGACCAUUUAUGACAAACCUACAGCCAAUGUUAUGCUAAGUGGACAAAAACUGAAAGCCUUCACACUAAAAUCAGGAACAAAAAAAAUGAUGUGCACUAUCACCACUCCUAUUCAAUAUAGUUCUGGAACUAUUAGCAGAGCAAUCAGACAAGAUGGAGAAAUAAAGGGAAUAAAAAUAGGAAAAGAAGAAGUUAAGUUAUUAUUUGCAGAUGACAUGAUACUUUGCAUAGAAGACCCCCAAAAAUCUAUUAAAAGCCUAUUAAGAUGAUAAACAGCAGCAUACCUGGAUAGAAAGUCAAUACUCAAAAAUCAAUAGUAUUCCUGUACACAAAAUCUCCAAGAGAGAGAAAUUAUGAAAUAUCGCCUUUCACAAUAGCAUCAAAAAAAUGAAAUACUUAGGAAUCAACCUAUCCAAGAAUGUAAAAGACCUAUAUGAUGAAAAUUAUACUACUCUAAAAAAGGAGAUUGAAGAGGAUAUUAGAAAAUGAAAGGAUAUUCCUUGAUCAUAGUUAGGAACAACCAACAUUGUGAAAAUGGUGAAACUCUCCAAACUGUUAUAUAUAUUCAAUGCAAUCCCAAUCAAAAUAUCAUUAACACACCUUACAGAUCUAGAGGAAAUAUUCCCCCAAAUUCAUCUGGAAACAGAAGAAACCUAGAAUAGCAAAGGCAAUACUGGACAACAAAGACAAAGAAGGAGGCAUCUCAAUUCCUGACUUGAAACUAUACUGCAAAGCCAUGGUGAUAAAAUCAGCAUGCUGUUGGCAAGGAAAUAGACCAUAGGAUCAGUGGAACAGAUAGAAGAUAUAAACACUGCCACAGAGACACUCAGCCACCUUAUAUUUGACAAAGGAGCUAAACAUGUUCACUGCAAGAAAGAUAGCCUUUUUAAUAAAUGGUGUGGGAAAAAUUGGCUUUCCACAUGCUGAAGACUAAAACUAGACCCAUGCCUAUCACUAUACAUUUAACUAAAGUCAAAAUGGAUCAAGGAUCUAAAAGUUAAAAAAGAAACACUAAAUCUACUGGAGGACAAGUUAGGUAGAAAUCUUGGAGACAUAGGGCUAGGCAGAGAAUUCAUGAAUAAAACACAAGCUGUAUGGGAAAUACUUCAAAAAAUCAACAACCAGGAUCUCAUAUUAUUAAAAUGUUUUUGAACUUCAAAGGAAAUCACCAACAAAGUGAACAGAAAUCCCACAGAAUGGGAAAUAAUUUUAACUAACUAUCCUUCAGACAAGGGAUUCAUAUCCAGAACAUAUAAAGAAUUGAAAAACAUCAAAUCCCCCAGAUUCCAAGACCCUCUCCAAAAAUGGGCAUCAGAGAUGAAUAUACAGUUUUCAGAUGAAGGUAUACAAAUGGCAAAUAAAUAUAUAAAGAAAUAUUCACCAUCAUUGGUUGUUCAAGAAUUCCAAAUUAAGACAGCAUUGAGAUUUCAUCUCACUCUGGAAAGAAUGGCCGCCAUCGAGAAAUCAACUGAUAACAAAUCUUGGUGAAGUGCACCACUGCACUUCUCCACUGUUGGUGUAAGUGCCGACUGUUGCAGCCACUGUGGAAAUCAGUAUGGAGAUUCCUCAAAAACCUAGGAUUUGAAGUUCCAUUCAAUCCUGCUUUUCUUCUAGGAAUUUUCAAAGAAAAAUUGAAAAUGUCAUGUCACAGUGAUAUAUGUGCACUCAUGUUCAUUGCACAAUUUGUGAUAGGUAAAUCUUGUAAACAACCAAAAUGCUCAUUAACUGCAGAGUGGAUGAAAAGAAUGUAUUUUUACACAAUUGAUAACUACUCAGCUAUAGAAAAGGAUGAUCUUGAGGCCUUUAUUGGUAAAUGUAGGCAAGUUGACAAUGUGCUCAUUAGUGAAAUUAAAAGACUCACAUUAGUAAAUAUCACAUUAUCUCUAUGGUGUUAAAAGUAAUAAAAAAAACUGACCAAGUAAUGAGAUCCAAAAAGUAUAAAAUAUUGCAAAGGAGAAAGGGAAAAUAGUGUUCUAAAGGAAAUAAUGAUAUGUAUAAUGUGUAAGAUAGAUGCCCAUAUUACUACAUUUCUGUGAGAUAUUGAAAAGAAGGGUUUGUACUGCCUAUGUUUAAGUAGUUAGCCACUUUUUACACUUUGUUUUUGUAACUUUAACAACUAUUUUUAAGGUGACAAUAUAUAAUGUAUCAUCCAAUGGUUUUAUGAUGUUAAAUUUUAAAAAUUUCUCUAUUCUACUUUUUUUUUCUAUUUUGUUUCCUUUCAUUUUCUUUAAAUAAAAAAUUUUUUAAAAAAGAAAUGAAUCUGGUAUUCUCUACCCUCCAGGCCUUGCAGCAGGAUCUGCUCAUGCAGUGAUGGGAAUCCUUGGGAUCCACCUGACUCUGCAUGGCCAUAAGCUGCACUGUGGUGGGAUUAGUGGUAUUAUGCUUUACAUUUAUUGUUGUCGUGGUCUUUGUGUGCAUGAGUCCACCCUAGGGGUCACUUACAAUAAACACAUUUUCCCUCAUCUUUCAAUUGGUGGAAUAUGGGAAACCACUUCACAGUGCUUCAGCCCCAAAGACUUUGAGGACAUGUAUGGACCUCACCUAACUAAUUAGCAUAUGAACAGCAUGAACACAAUUCUAUAAGCAUGACUUAUCAUAGACAGCCAUGGAUAUGCUGAAGCUUGUAACAGUACACAAGAAUGCAUUCCCUGAUACGGAUGGAGAUAUAUAUAUAGAGAGACACUUGCUUACUGCUAUUGCUAAUGUUGGCUCAGGUGGUUUAUUUUCUCUGGGCAUCUUACCCACUAAAAUACCCAUUCACCUCCCUAACUCUGAGAAAAUCCCAUACCACAGACACAGGGAACUUUAAUACCCCACAAUACUAAAGUUGUGUGUGAUUAACAGCCCCUGUGCCCUGUUCCAAGGCAUUCAUCACAUCCUGAGGCGCAAAUCUCUGUGGGGUACAACUUUAGAAAGAGAUCGAGUUUCAUGCCUGUGCCUUGGAGAUCAUUUCUUGAUCUAUGUGAUAGACAUUUGCCCCACUUCCAUACCUACUCUGUACCCCACAAGGCAUUAAAGUUCUCAAAUGUUCUGACCUGGACCUGGAACGUAGCUCCCCACAGAGCAGACAUGCAGUUCUCCAGCAGACUGGUUGGAGCAUGGUCUCAGGUGAGUCAGUCCCAGGCUGGAGGCCAAGGACAAUAGUGUCUGUUGGCCCCACUCUCACACAAUGGAGCUUCUUACCAGAAUAUCUUAGCCUCCCUUGAUCCCUGAACCCGUGGGGACUCACUUUUUCUAUGUGUUAUAGUGUGUUAAAACCAGGCACAGCAUUAAGGCAUGGUAGUGACAACACAUGUCUAGCACAACCCCUCCUGAAGGUGGCUCCCCAUGGACUCUGCAAGCCAUCUAUUCUCAACAUAUUGUACCAUCUUGGAGCUGAUCACACUGAGGAAGUGCACAGAACAAGGGCAGGAGCAGGUGCUGGAUCCCACAGAGGUAGGCAGCCCUUCUCUGUGUGUGGACCUCAGUGCCUGUCAGGGCAUCGGGAUGGCCCUCUUGAAUGAAUUAGGGAGAUCCCUGCCUGGUGGUAUUGAGUCAGGGUGGCAGUGGACACUGGCUGUGUCUGGCAGCCAAAUGGGGCAACGCAGAGUGUAUACCACUGCCACCUGCUCAAGACAUCCUUCCACACUAAUUCUUUUGUGGUUCCCCUGCCAGACUUUUUCUACCCUCCUUUUCCACUCCAAUCUUCCUUGGAACUUUGAAUGGAAUCAAAGGAGGAGGCACUGCAUGUGUAGCUGCCCAAAGUCUAGAUGUCACUGUUCUCUGCUGUCACCCAAAAGGAGUGAACAGCACCCAGACAGGAGAUGGCCCAAGGCUUACAUGUGUAUAACGUGCCACUGUCUCAGGGACUGACUCUCAGGUAAGGUGGUCAUGGCCAUUGCCAUUUCUGUCUUGCCUGCUAGUUGCCAGGUGCUGCUGUGUUCUCACUUUUCUGCCAUUGACUCCAGAGGCAAAUACCUAGUGUUCAGGUCCAGGUGUCAGGGAGGCUUUACCCAAGUGUAGUGGGAGGAGGCAAACAUCCUUGAGAUGCACAAUGGGCCGGCUGAGGUCUGAGUGGCUGCAGAGUGGGGUGAGAAUCCCAUAUAUUUCCUUCCCCACCAUAUUGAUGCUAGGGUCUUGGUGUACAGUGCAAAGUUCCUUCCAGGUAACUGUCACUUUUUGCUAAAUCUUUCUGUCUCACAACUCAUCAUGAGAUCCUUAAUUAUUUUUAUUAGUAUAUUUUUAUUAAUAGCUGUUUACAGUGUUUACUGAUUAUUUUGAUGAUAGGUCCAUGGCACAUGUGAUGGGUGGAAUGGAAAUUAGGCCCUACCUUGUGCAUAAUGGUACAAUCUGUCAACCAGUGACUGUUCUCAAGCUGUGUGUGUAUGACAAAGUAUGUCAUAUAUAAAAAGUAUGCUGAUAAAAGAAUGUUGAAGGCUCUGCUAAUCUUCUCCACCCAGACUGCCUGGCACUAGCUCAGCCUUCAAAACUUGGUGGGAGAGGCAGGAGAGAAAGGUAGAGGAAGAUAAGGUGCUUUCUCCUCCAAGACAGCAGAUAUACAGAGGUAAGGGGCACUUUCAGCUGUCACUGUUAGACCCACUUCUGAGCCUGUAUCCUGAGGCCAGAGAGGAGACAGCAGUUUUGAUUGCUUUGCUAGAAAUGAGGAGUCUGAGCAGAGCUACAGAGACAGGGCUUGGGAGCCACACUGAGGGCUCCUCCAGAUUUGUCUGCAUUUGGUUUUCACUUUCUGUUCCAUGACUCAGUCAUCACCAGCUUUUGGCAGUGUGGGUUCACUUGUCUCCCCAAGAAUGAACUGCUUCUGGGGAUCUCGGGCAGCCAGCACACAUCUAGAUUUCUAUGUGUCUGUGUUAGGUUGGGCAUAGAGCAAAGUAUAAAAGUACAUGUUCCUAUGAUAGUAAGAUUGGUGCCAGAGACUCCAUUACCAAGGACUUAAAGCUCAUGCUUUGCUCUUCAGGUUUGCAUCUGCAUGAAGCACCCAUUGCUUGCCAGCUAGAGUGCAUCUUUCCUGUGUCAGGCUUCUCAUCUGUUGCUCUUUUUUUCCCACAUGUCAGAAGUGGAUUUUCUUGCUUUGUGUUUGGUUUAUAAAUCAUUGUAUACUUUAUUAGUACCUGUUUACAGUGUAUACUGUUUAUGUUGGUUAUAGGUCUAUGGCUCAUAUGAUAUGUAGAAUGGAAAUUAGGCCCUACUUUGUGUAUAAUGGUACAAUCCAUCGACCAGUGACUGUUCUCAAAGUUGCCUGCACUGAGCAUACAUCUCAGGGCCAAGACAUGGUGAGCACAAGGUGCUGCUUUGUCUGGAUUUUCUUUUCUUUAUAUCAAUGCAAUGGGCAAUGAUGUAAUACUUGGGAGCUUAGCCCAACCUUAACCCUUACACUAACCUGAACCGUAAUCCUAACUCUAAGCCUAAAAAGUCACUGCCAACAUUCUCUGGCCAAAGAAAACUUGAUGUGGGACAAGACAGCAGAUAUACAGAGGUAAGGGGCACUUUCCUGUGGGAAAUGUAACAUAGAUUAAUUAUGAGGAUGUAAGAUCAGUUGGGGUUCGGACAGAGCAGAAGGGGAAAGAAAAGAAAACAUCUUUGGGUAAAAAAAUUUGAAGAAUAUAUUCUGGAAUUGAACAGUGGUGAAA